UACGUAGGGCGCAAGCGUUGUCCGGAAUUAUUGGGCGUAAAGAGCUCGUAGGCGGUCUGUCGCGUCGGAUGUGAAAACCCAGGGCUCAACCCUGGGCCUGCAUUCGAUACGGGCAGACUAGAGUUCGGUAGGGGAGACUGGAAUUCCUGGUGUAGCGGUGAAAUGCGCAGAUAUCAGGAGGAACACCGGUGGCGAAGGCGGGUCUCUGGGCCGUAACUGACGCUGAGGAGCGAAAGCGUGGGGAGCGAACAGG
rnacentral:rRNA from 1 species